rnacentral:rRNA from 1 species
UGAUGGGGCGAAAGCCUGACGGAGCAACGCCGCGUGAGUGAUGAAGGUCUUCGGAUCGUAAAACUCUGUUAUUAGGGAAGAACAAACGUGUAAGUAACUGUGCACGUCUUGACGGUACCUAAUCAGAAAGCCACGGCUAACUACGUGCCAGCAGCCGCGGUAAUACGUAGGUGGCAAGCGUUAUCCGGAAUUAUUGGGCGUAAAGCGCGCGUAGGCGGUUUUUUAAGUCUGAUGUGAAAGCCCACGGCUCAACCGUGGAGGGUCAUUGGAAACUGGAAAACUUGAGUGCAGAAGAGGAAAGUGGAAUUCCAUGUGUAGCGGUGAAAUGCGCAGAGAUAUGGAGGAACACCAGUGGCGAAGGCGACUUUCUGGUCUGUAACUGACGCUGAUGUGCGAAAGCGUGGGGAUCAAACAGGAUUAGAUACCUGGGGGUAGUCCCAA